rnacentral:tRNA from 1 species
GCUGUUGUAGAUCAGUGGAAGAGCGCCUGGUUAAAAACUAAGAGGUCGGUGGACCAAUCCCACCCAGCAACA